CCUACGGGAGGCAGCAGUGGGGGAUAUUGCUCAAUGGGCGCAACCCUGAUCCAGCGACGCCGCGUGUAGGAAGACGGCCCUCUGGAUUGUAAACUACUGUCAUCAGGGACGAAGAUGACGGUACCUGGGCAGGAAGCUCCGGCAAACUACGUGCCAGCGGCCUCGGUAAUACGCAGGGAGCGAGGUUUUUCCGGAAUUACUGGGUGUAAGGGGAGCGUAGGGGGCGAUGAAGGUUGGGGGUAAAAUCUACCGGCUAAACUGGUAAUCGCACUCGAUAAUGGAGAUCUUGAGUGAAGUUGAGGUAGGCGGAAUUCCUGGUGUAGCGGUGAAAUGCUUAGAUAUUAGGAAGAACACCGGUUGCGAAGGCAGCCUACUAAGCUUUUACUGACGUUGAGGCUCGAAAGUGUGGGGAGCAAACAGGAUUAGAUACCCCAGUAGUC
rnacentral:rRNA from 1 species